rnacentral:tRNA from 1 species
GGCGGCAUAGCUCAGUUGGUAGAGUAUCCGGUUCAUACCCGGCUUGUCACUGGUUCAAGUCCAGUUGCCGCUACCA